CUGAAUAACUGAAAUAAAGUAACUUUUCAAAGAUAUUACAUUUUUUUGAGAUGGCUCUGUAGAGUUGGUCUGUGUUCUUUAAGCAGGGACUGUCAGGUCUGGUGCUAAAAGCACUGCUGUCUCUCCCACAUUCAGCGCUGCAGACGAUCUCCAGUCUCCCAACUACACUUCCCAGAACACACCACACUCUGAUAUCACGCACUCACCUGUUCACCUGCCACCACCCGGAAGCCCUGAAUAUUGAUUACCCACACUAUAAAAACCCCCUUCACUUACACUCUGUGCCGAGUAAUCGAUUGGUUAGCCCUCAUUACAAAGCAUAUUCUUGUUAUCUAUAUUUUUGAUCUCCUGGUUUUGACUCUCUGGUUUGUUAUUCUCGAUUCUGAUUUUUGCCUUCUCCCUAUUGUUGGAACUCUGUGUAUUACCUGGACUGUUACCGUUUCUGAUUGUUUGGAUUAUCCUCUCUUGUUUGCCUCCCCGUGCAUGAACUUUGGACUGUCCCUCACUCUGGUUAGUGCUUUUCCUCUCUGGUUGUUGUUUGCUCCCGCUGACCUUAUAUUUCAGUCUGACUACCCUGUUGUUAUUAUUGAUAUCUGCUCUAUUUAUUAAAAUAUUCUAUAUACUG